UACGUAGGGGGCUAGCGUUAUCCGGAAUUACUGGGCGUAAAGGGUGCGUAGGUGGUUUCUUAAGUCAGAGGUGAAAGGCUACGGCUCAACCGUAGUAAGCCUUUGAAACUGGGAAACUUGAGUGCAGGAGAGGAGAGUGGAAUUCCUAGUGUAGCGGUGAAAUGCGUAGAUAUUAGGAGGAACACCAGUUGCGAAGGCGGCUCUCUGGACUGUAACUGACGCUGAGGCUCGAAAGCGUGGGGAGCAAACAGG
rnacentral:rRNA from 1 species